rnacentral:lncRNA from 1 species
AAGGCAGAAACAUUUCACUCUUUCUCCAUGCAUUCUUGGCAUAGCAUGGUUGUUUUACUCAUGACUUUUAUUGCAUUGAUGAAAUACUGAAAUGACAUUGUCUACCUUGUCUCUCUAGAUUUCAGCAAGAAAGUCUACUGGCUUGCAGCAGUUUGUCUCCUUGUAACUGUGGGAGUUCUGUGCUGGUAAGUCCGGGAGCUGUUCAAUCCCUCAUGCACCAGCAUCUCUUGGCAGCAUGUGUCAUGGUUAAGCUAAGCUCUUGGCUGUCUGGGGGCCAGACAACAGCUGCUGCUUGGGUGCUCAUAAGGGAAAUAACAGGUAAUGAGAGCUUCAUGACAGCUGUGUCACAGCGAGUUACAGCAUUAUGUAAUUUGUGCAUUUGAGCAGUUUGGUGAUCCCUCGGCCUCCUCCCAGCUCACUUCUCACAGGAAUGUGGGCUUGGAUUGACUCCUUUUUUUUGCAGUUAAAAGAUGGAAAUCCAGAAGUCGUCCAAGUCUUUGGCAGAUUAAGCUAAGUAGUUAAAAAAGGAAAAUAAGAGGGGCUGCUUUACACCCCAAAUGCAAUUGCAGUCAGCCUGAUUUGCAUGAAUUGAGCAAUACAGGCUGUUGCAGUGACUACCUCACCUCCUGUGUAGCAGGACGAGGCUACGGCAUCAGCUGGGGAAUUACUACUGGCUUUCCCUCGUACUUAUGAUGUCUAUUGCUACUGUUAUCCUGAGUUCAGUUGUCAGCCUAAUUAUUUCAAAAAAUGCCUUUUGCACUUGGACAGUGACAGUAACUGGAAGUGUAAUAAUUGGAAUAAUUUCAAAUUUCUACGAAACAGUGACUAUAAUGCAAGUUGGAGGAAUGACUGCAUUUGCAACCCUGUUACUGUUUUUAUUUGCUCUGAAGACAAAUAAACCCCUGACAAACAUGGCCAUAUCAACCACUACAAGCACCCUGGGCACUGCUGGGGCAAUCGUUUGUGUCCUUAGAAAUUCAUACGUGUUCCAGGCUAUAUACGCUCUAUUUGGAAUGCUGCUCUUUGCUACUGAUCUGACGAGGACAGUAGCUGAGCUCGAAAGUCAACGGACAACCAACAAAAAAGUCAAAAAGUCAAAGCUUGAAAGUCAACCAACAAAAAUGCAACGCUCCAUGGACUAUGCUGAGGCAGCACAAAGACUUGUCAUAUCUAUUGCUAUGAUCUUCUUCUUCACUUUGCUAUUAGUUGGUUGAACGCACAACAAAGCCGAGUAUUUUGGCAAACUUCAGUUUCAGCGCAAGUCCUGUGUUACCCAAAGGAAGGUGCGUGACAGCUCAUUCAGGUGUUCUGGCGAGGUGAUUACGGGAUGGAUUUCCAUAUAAUAAACUUCCUAUAGAUGAAAAAGUAUCUUAAUGU